UGUCUGCAGAUUAUAAUCUUUUGUGCGCUAUAUUAUGCAGAUCGAAGAUGCUCGAAUGCAAAAGGGACGAUAUCACAGACAUUGGGUUCAUUGACCCGCACACAAUGCAUGUUAAAACCAUAGAGAAUCCCCUCUAUAACAAGGAUACACCGCAGACUUUGCUAAGGUUUUUGAAGCGACAACGUGACAAAAAGCUAAUACUUUGGCCUUACAACUUCGAGUGAGUCUUACUGUCUUAUAACACAUUAUAUUUUGCUCACCGUAUGUCAAAAUUUUAACUAAUGACUUAUAUAUAUGACACUACAUAUUGAAACGUGCGUAGGUUUCACUUUAUUCUUCUCGUCAUCAAUUUGGAAAUUGGAGAAGUUGAAGUCUUGGACUCACUAAGCAAAAAAAAGGAUCUAUACGUGUCUUGUUUUUUAAUGCUCAGAAGGUAAUUUUAAUUCUUAUCGGUUUGUUUCGUUAAUUUCCUGCUUUGAACUAAUUGAUGACUCUUUUAUGCAUUUUCUUUUGUCGAGCAGCGUAUGGCAAACUUUCAUCAAGGAAGAUACGUCCCGUGAAUGGACACCGAAGCUGCGAUGGCGUGCGAAAAAAUGCCCGCAACAACCUCCGGGGACCGAUCUCUGUGGAUUCUUCGUUUGCGAGUACAUCCGCAGAAUUGUCAGCGAGAGAACGAAUAAUGAAAGAAAUAAAGAGUUGGCAAGAAAGCGGAACAAGCUCUCAAUCGAUGACCGCUUCAUAGCAAUAGGCGAGGAAUUGGCGGGAUUUUUCCUUCGGGACGUCAUACCACCACUCGCAGAGUACC